rnacentral:rRNA from 1 species
GACGAACGCUGGCGGCGUGCUUAACACAUGCAAGUCGAACGGAAAUGCCCUGCUUUUGUGGGGUGCUCGAGUGGCGAACGGGUGAGUAACACGUGAGUCACCUGCCCUUGACUUUGGGAUAACUUCAGGAAACUGGGGCUAAUACCGGAUAGGAGCUCCUGCUGCAUGGUGGGGGUUGGAAAGUUUCGGCGGUUGGGGAUGGACUCGCGGCUUAUCAGCUUGUUGGUGGGGUAGUGGCUUACCAAGGCUUUGACGGGUAGCCGGCCUGAGAGGGUGACCGGCCACAUUGGGACUGAGAUACGGCCCAGACUCCUACGGGAGGCAGCAGUGGGGAAUAUUGCACAAUGGGCGGAAGCCUGAUGCAGCAACGCCGCGUGCGGGAUGACGGCCUUCGGGUUGUAAACCGCUUUCGCCUGUGACGAAGCGUGAGUGACGGUAAUGGGUAAAGAAGCACCGGCUAACUACGUG